rfam:Triticum urartu cultivar G1812 contig1438476, whole genome shotgun sequence.
AUAGUACUCCCUCCGUCCCAAAAUUCUUGUCUUAAAUUUAUCUAGAUAUGGAUGUAUCUAAUACUAAAACAUGACUUGAUACAUCGGUAUUUAGACAAAUCUAAGACAAUAAUUUUGGGACGGAGGGAGUAUAAA